GGAUAGGAAUAUCAGAGGCGGGGAUAGGGACGGAGGAGAUCCAAGCAGAACCGGCACGCUUCAGGCGAAGGCGGUCUCUGAAUGCUUUCCAGGUCUUCUUGUCCUUAUGGCCAAACAAGGAAUCAGGCUCUUCGUCGCGAAUUAUAUCCAAAAGAGUUCUGUUCAUCAGAGCCGGCGUAUGAGAAACCUCCACCGUUGGCUGCUUCUCAGAGCUCAACACAUCGUUCAAAGUCAAGCCGGCAAGGUCUCUGCUGUUCUCAAUUGCCGACAUUUGGUCCAAAAGCGAGAGUCUCCGGCGACCAACAGCACCACCUUCUUUCUUCUCUCUGGUGACAGAUAUUUGAGAUUGAUUUUCACAGCAACUUUCGAUUUA
rnacentral:misc_RNA from 1 species